UCGGUAACGACUUUGCCUUUUGGUGGCGG
rnacentral:sRNA from 1 species